rnacentral:sRNA from 1 species
CUGGCAUAUUAUUUUAAAAUGUCUAAUAUUCCAGACUUUUCAAAUCAUUUCUUGAUAAAGAAAAUGUUAAGCGGGGCAAAGCGUCUUGCCAGCUCUCCUGAUGUGAGGCAGCCUAUUACUCUGGAUACUCUGGAAAACCUUUUAGUAGCAGUGCCUCAUGUAGCCAAUUCUAGUUACCAAAGAUGUUUGUUCAUGGCUUUGUUUAUAAUAGCAUUUUAUGCUUUCCUCCGAGUAGGAGAGAUCACAGUUCGCUCCCAUUCUAACCCAAACUUGCUGCUUUUGAGUAAUGUAUCCUUCAAGACAAUAGCCAAAGCAAGUUGUUUGAUCAUAACAAUGACCAACUUUAAGCAUAAUCUGGGGGAAAAUCCUGUGCAUCUGGAAAUCAAAGCUCAGCCAAUCCGCAGAUUUUGUCCUGUGCAAAUCAUGAAGAAUUAUCUCAAAGUGAAAGGUGUGAAGGAUGGACCUCUCUUUUGCUAUGGAUCUGGAAGACCUAUAUCCCGUUCAGAAUUCUGCAAGGACAAGACAGAGCGAGUCGUGUUUAUGUUCCACUACACACAUUGGCCAGACCACGGGGUCCCAGAACCACUCAGUCUAGUUGUGUUCCAUCGUCACGUGAUGAAAACUGCAGAGGAACACCCCCAGGGAUGCAUCGUUGUCAACUGCAGUGGAGGAGCGGGUAGAACUGGAACCUUUAUAGCACUAGAUGCCUUGUAUAAGGAAGGAGAUAAAACUGGGAAAGUGAACGUCCCUAAGUAUGUUGAGAGGAUGAGAAAUGCGAGGAUGAACAUGAUCCAAGCGGAGGAUCAGUACAAACUAGUGUACCUGACGUUACGAGAGUCUUUUAGAGGAAGACCACGUACUAUAUUAUCAACAAAAUUUCUACAAGAAUUUCAGGAUUCCUGUGGUAUCAAGGGUACUGGCAACACGUAUCCCAUUGUGAUGGAAUUUGAGAUUGUUCCGAUUUUGGUGUUUAUGGAAGUAAUUGUGAUAUACCCUGUCCAGAAAAUUGUCAGGAACGUAGAUGUGACGUCAUCAAUGGAACUUGUUUCGGAUGUACACCCGGAUGGGUGGGGGAAUAUUGUACAACAGAAUGUUCAACAGGUAGAUUUGGACCAGAUUGUGUGUAUAACUGUAGUGGACACUGCAUGGGUGAUGUCACAUGUAAUAGAACAACUGGAAGAUGUGACAACGGCUGUAAAGCGGGAUAUACUGGAGAACUGUGUGACACAGGUUUAAUUAUAUGUAGAUUUAAAAAA